rnacentral:lncRNA from 1 species
CUUGAACUGUCUGUUCUUGAACUAAUUCUAUGUACAUCUAAUUUUGCCCUUCUUCGGUCGCCAUCAUUUCUCCUGUAACUGACAGAAAGAAGAGCAAGUCUGUUGUUGCAGGAGGAGCUGAAUUUCUAUUCAGUGUUCUGCACAAAGAACUUCUUUAUCCUGCUGUGGAUUUGGAAAAUUUUCCUCUUGAUGCCACUGGCUUCAAUCUUCUUUCAGCAAGCAACAGGGAAAUAUCAAACUCCUGAAAAACAUAUCAUAUUUCAACUCAGUGCUGUGAGAAGCGGAAUGCUGCUCUAUAAAGAAGCCCUGCUGAGAAAAAACAUCCUAGAGACUCGUUCAGCUUUAUCUUACAAGGGGAAACAAGCAUCUCUACUUCUGUAUUAAACUUUCUGCAUUUUGAGUCCUGAAGAAAAGCAGCCAAGAUGAAACCACUGUGCCUUGAAAUAGAGAACAAAGCAAGGUAAGAUAACUAAAUUAGCAAAAUGAACUUUCUGAGUUUUGCGGUCCUCAGAAGCAUAGCAUUUAAGUAACUUUGUAUGGAUAUUGCUGAUUCAGCAUAACUACCUAUGUUAGCCAGAUUAAGGCUAUUUUAGGUACACCUGCGAAUGCUGCAGUGAAACUCUUAAUGGUGAUUUAAAUAUACCUCAGACCAUUUGUUUGUGACUGUCAGGCUCAUAUAUACUAUUGCCAUAAGCUUACCAUAACAGAGUGAUAACGUCAAGAGAAAUUAUUAUUUCUUUUGGUGCUUGCAAUUAUACUUGAUCGUGUAUUUAUUUUUGAAAUAGAAAGUAGAAAACAGAAUUUGUUUUCUGCUUAGAGGAUUGAACUAACCCAGCCAUAGUGCUCUUGCUCUUACCUCUGUCUUUAUUUAGCCAAGCGUCCAAUUUUAGUAUAUUGUAUGGAAAGUUCAGUGCUGUUUCUGAUGUCACGUGGACCUCAUGUCCAUGUCCAUAUAUAUGUUUUAGCAGCACACACUUUGUAAAUCUGUAUUUGAGUUUAUGAUGUACAUUUCUCCUCACACUCUCCCGCGUAUAACAGCUUAAAGCGUUGGACUUCAAAGCAUGCUGUCGAGUGCUUAUUCAAUUACUAUUUCAGCACACUUUCUUUUGAUAAUUUUUUAAAAGAAUAUAUUAUCAGGAAUGCUAUUAAUUUGUUUGAAGAGCAGAAGUUACUUUGCUCAGUUGAAAUGCAAAAGUUUCUUUGUUCUCUUUAAAUAUUUUUAAGUUUGUAAACUCCAUUCAGUGUGUGUUUACGUUUCAUGGGAGAUGGACUCUUGGCCAUCUCUUGCAGAGACGUUCAUCCAGUUUUACCUACCUAAAAAAACAAGAGGAUACCUGCUUCCAUCCUUGGAAGGUGAGAACACAUGAGGCAUUUGAGUUUAGUAGUAGUCAGGAAAUGAGUUUUACCGUACCAAGAUAUUUUUGAGCUCAAAGUAAUUUGCAUAUUUUGUAAUCAUUUCUGCCACUGACCCACAGCAAUGCAAGAUAGGUGAUGAGAGACAACACAGUAGCAGUAGUGGUGCUUUAUGUGAACGGACAGGGAGAAGUCAGAUCACUUUCAUCAUGACAGGAACCUGUCUUCCCUGUCUACUUCCAGAGUCAUGUUAUGCUGACACCCACUCAGCUGCCAGGACCAAUGAAUUGUGUAGAACAGAAGUUGUGAAGGUACAUUUAUUUAUUGUUCAUUCAACCCUGCAUCCAUAUGUGGUCACAGAAAGAAUGCAGUAAAUUUUGCAGGAAGUGUCAGUCGCAUGCACACUUGCUUUCGCUAGAAGGAAAUUUAAAACCUCUGAAUGAGUUACUGGUCUUUGUAGACUGCUACACACCUACUUUCUAGUUCAAAGAUGAGGAAGAUUUUCAGAUAGAUCACAGUACUUAUUGAUUGUAUCUCUUUGGACUGAAGAAUUUUGGUUCUUAAAUCAUUGAGGCUGCUGCUAGUGGAGAUACUGCCAUUUCUGCUGAGUGUGAACAUAAUUUCCCCAAAGUAUGUUAACACACCUCAGAGAUCCAGUCUUUCUGCAUUUGUCUGGGAAUUUGACUGCUCAAAACAUAUCUUCCCAUUAUAGACUCAUAAGAGAAAAUUUUGCUAGUGGUAAUAAAAGGUGAAGAAUAAGGAAACUGUCUCAAUAGGAAGGCUGCUCCCUGAGUGUCUCUAGGCACCUUUUUCUUUGCUGAGGUCAAGUGAAGCCCUUCAGACCUCUGCUACGGUUAUACUGGCUUUGCCUGGAAGAGAGAGAGAGAGGUGACCACUUUUCCCAAGCAGUUAUCUCAGUGAAUCUCCAACUCUGUGUUACCAGUUGGCCAACUUAGAACCUUCAGAUCAAACCACACUUGGACUUCUACACCUGUAUAACUUCUCUGAAGUUAAAAAAUAAAUAUCUUCAGUCCAGACAGCUCUGGAGUAGUUACCUGAGGGUAUUUUCAAGUAUUCACAAAUAGAGUUCUUUCUCAAGACAAAGCUCUACCAAAGCAGAUAUUGAAUGCAUAUGAUCUGCCUUUUAUAGAACUAUGACUAUCUAGGAAUUAUCAGUAGUACAAAUCCAUGUGCAGUCACAUUAAGAGCAAAAGACAGAAGUAUCUUUUUCUGUAACUGUGAUUUGUUUGGGGUCUGUUCCUCACAUAUAUGACAAUUUAUCUUCGCUUGCUGCACUUAAAUAAUGCUGGUCUUUGUAUUGGUGAAUUGACAAAAGCUUGUAGCUCACUGCAUGUGCAGCAAAGAACUAGCUAAGGAACAGCUGGCAACUUUUUCAUUUAUGUCUUCCUCCUCAGCUGCAAUGGGAAAUAAGGUGGGAUUUCUUUGAAGGGAUUUCGACAAUAUUCCAAACUGAUACUGAGGUUCAAGUAGAGCUGGAAUUCAAGUAACUGGCCUGGUUUUCUUUCCUAACCAUCUAAUGCCAUUUGCUUAUGAUCUGAAAAUCCGUAUCUACAAAACUGUCCUCAGAUGCAUCACCAACUGUACUUCCCUGGAUGUGCUGCAUCAGUGCAAAAGCUUUACAGUAUAUUUCAUUUCCUUCUUGUGACUUCCUGAAAAUUUAGUGCUGCUGUAUCUGUAACUGAUUGUCAUCUGUAGCAGGCUAAUUUCAGUCGAGAAUUCUGUUUCUAAAGGAGGAGGUUUUUCUUGACAGAGACUCCUGUACCCAUGAUUUUCCCUUCUCUGCUACAUGUUCUGCAAGUCCAUGUUCUUACAGGCUUCUGUUUUUCUAAGUGAUUGGGAGUGGAAAAGGGCAACAUUCAGGUGUGUCCGGAGGCAUGUCCCUAACCGCUACCUUUCAACUGGAAAAGUGGAAGUGAGAGACUGCUUGGCGCAGGGAGGUUUUAACUGAAAGACUACACCUGUAUACAUAGAGUAGCUGGAACCGGGGUACCUGAGAAGUCGCUGGGGGCUGAAGUAAAUUCUACUGCUAUCCCUUCAGCAAAUAAUAAUGCGAAGUAUCACAACGAAAGGCACGUGAAAAGCAGUAGCUAGACUAGCACAGUCUCUUUGCGGAGGGCAAGGCGAGGUGCGAGGACGCCCCGGGGACAGGACGGGCAGGAGGCGGCCCCUCGCUCUUUCCCUCUUCUUCCUCGGUCUCCCGGCUCAGCAGCCGCUCGC